CCAAGUUUUAUCGCCUCAUUUUCCCUUUUAUAUCGAUUCAGAAUAGCCGCUUUUUUCCCUGGGAGAUGUAUCCCUUUUCGAAGUUUAUUUAGAAUAAGGGAAAGGCGAUUAGGGAAAAAACUCCCAGUAAAUUCACCCCUAUCGGGAAAAAUAUGUGGAAUUUUUAUUCCCAUGAGAUCUGAAUUCCCCUCGAAAGGGAUUUUACAAUCGUUAAACUCCCUCGAAAUAUUUGUUCCCUUCUUUAAUCAGCUGUUACAAGUUUUGUAAGGCUAUCAGUGCAUACUGAAUGAAAGUUAAAUAUAAAAAAAAAUGGCAUUGAAUUAAAAAGAGAAAAUGUUGAGAAUCGAAGGAAUAUUGUUGCUUCAGGAGGAAAAAACUGUGCAGCAUCGUAUCAUCCACAGGCGUGUGCGAGAUGCAUCUAACCUUUGGCGUUACCCCAUACAUUAUUCUCCCAGCACUAUAGAUUAAGUAAAGAUGCUUUUAAGUAUGUUCUGGAGGAGCUCGAGGAAAAUCUGCAGCCAUCAAAAACAUCGUCCGGAAUUCCAACAAUUUUAAAAUUAUAUGCUGUUACUAUUCAAUUCUUCAGUAAGACUAUUCCGAAAUUCUGUCAUUACGUCCUUUGAAAAUUUGUCAAAGCCACACGCAAUUGUCCUGUUAUUUCGCAUUUUGUUGAGCAAAAUCUCGUGUUGAUUUUUGUUAAAUAAGGCAUUAUUGUUCUAAUAAAAACACACAAAUACUUA